rnacentral:antisense_RNA from 1 species
UGUGGGAGCGGGCUUGCUCGCGAAUGCGGUGUUUCAGUUUCACAUUUCAGUGACUGACCCUCCGCAUUCGCGAGCAAGCCCGCUCCCACA